AGAGUUUGAUCCUGGCUCAGAACGAACGCUGGCGGCGUGCUUAAGACAUGCAAGUCGUGCGAGAAAGUUCCUUCGGGAGCGAGUAAAGCGGCGCACGGGUGAGUAACGCGUGGGUAAUCUGCCCGAGGGUCUGGGAUAACUCCGGGAAACUGGGGCUAAUACCAGAUGAGACCACGCUGUCUGCGGACAGCGCGGGAAAAGGUGGCCUCUGCUUGCAAGCUACCGCCUACGGAUGAGCCUGCGUCCCAUUAGCUAGUUGGCGGGGUAACGGCCCACCAAGGCAGAGAUGGGUAGCUGGUCUGAGAGGACGACCAGCCACACUGGAACUGAGACACGGUCCAGACUCCUACGGGAGGCAGCAGUCGGGAAUUUUGGGCAAUGGGCGAAAGCCUGACCCAGCGACGCCGCGUGAGGGAUGAAGGCCUUCGGGUCGUAAACCUCUGUCGGAAGGGGCGAAAGGUUCUCGAGCGAAUAGGUCGAGGGCUUGACGGUACCUUCAAAGGAAGCGCCGGCUAACUCCGUGCCAGCAGCCGCGGUAAU
rnacentral:rRNA from 1 species